CCCUUAGAUGUUCUGGGCCGCACGCGCGCUGCAAUGGUCUUCGCAAACGGAUGCAUUCUCGAAGGAGAAUGCCAAUCUUGGAAUCUAUGCCUUGGUCGGGACAGUUGCUUGCAAUUUUUCGACUCGAACCAGGAAUUCCUUGUAAUCGUGAUUCAUCACAUCACGAUGAAUACGUCCCUGCCCUUUGUACACACCGCCCGUCGCUCCUACCGAUCGAAGAGUUAGGUGAAUUGUUUUGAUCGAUAAGAUUUGACUAUGGUCAACUCUCGUUGUGAAAUUCUGUGAAUCUGACUGUUUAGAGGAAGGAGAAGUCGUAACA
rnacentral:rRNA from 1 species